UUAGUUCGUCUGGGGUGCCAAUUAUUGGCUGAGAUUAGACCCAUCGAACCUGAUGUAGUUUGUACUACCGAAGGAAGACAACUUUUACUGAUU
rnacentral:ncRNA from 2 species